UUCGGGAUGCCGGCGAGUGGCGAACGGGUGAGUAAUACGUGGAAACCUAUCCCGAGGUGGGGGAUAACAGCUGGAAACGGCUGCUAAUACCGCAUAAGCCCUAAGGGGGAAAGAUUUAUCGCCUUGGGAGGGGUCCACGUCGGAUUAGCUAGUUGGUAGGGUAAAGGCCUACCAAGGCGACGAUCCGUAGCUGGUCUGAGAGGAUGGACAGCCACACUGGGACUGAGACACGGCCCAGACUCCUACGGGAGGCAGCAGUGGGGAAUAUUGCGCAAUGGGGGAAACCCUGACGCAGCGAUGCCGCGUGGGUGGAGAAGGCCUUCGGGUUGUAAAGCCCUUUCAGUGGGGAAGAUAGUGACGGUACCCACAGAAGAAGCUCCGGCUAACUCCGUGCCAGCAGCCGCGGUAAUACGGAGGGGGCGAGCGUUGUUCGGAAUUACUGGGCGUAAAGGGCGCGUAGACGGUGCAGCAAG
rnacentral:rRNA from 1 species